UGUAUGCUGUUCUUCCUGGCUAACAUCUCGCCAGCUGCGUUUGGCCAACCCCCUCCCCCUUCCUUUUCCUUUGUCCUCAGGCGCUACCACAUGCGCGAGCGACUGCCGGGACCCGACGGCAGCGUUUUCGAUCGAAGAAGCCGGCCAUGCGGCUUCGAUCCGUUUUCCUUGCCUGUUGACGGAGCCCCAGUAAGCAAAUAGCAGCAUUCCGUACCGGUCACGCACGCAGCUGAGAGCAAGAGCUGGGCCCGCCACAAGUUCAAUAGGCAGGAAAGUUACAAGCGCACCCCGACGAAACAAAAACUUUCUUUUGGCACCUCUUUUUGUUUUAUUUUUGCGCUUCUUCUUCUUUAACCAAACCUGCUUUGUUUUCCUUCUGAGAUGCGAGGAGAAAGGCCAUCCCCAAAGACCAGCUGAUCUACGGUUUACUUCCACACAGGACUGGACCAUCCGCCAACAUCUCCCGGACUCACGGCUGUGGUGUCCUUGAGCAAGACACUGAUACCUCGAAAUGCUCCCCGGGGGCUUCAGCUGCCCCCUGCUCCAGUGUGUUCCACUAACUUGUGUAUGUGUUCACUGUGUUGGGUUAAAUGCAGAGAACACAUUUCAUGUGCAUGCAUGCAUGUUCAUGACAAUAAAAGGCGGUUCUAUUCUA